rnacentral:tRNA from 1 species
GGUGUAGCUCAGUUGGUAGAGCUCUUGAUUGUGGCUCAAGUGGCCGAGGGUUCAAGUCCCUUCAC